CGCACAUUGCGCCCGCCAGUAUUCUGGCGGGCAUGCCUGUUCGAGCGUCAUUUCACCACACAAGCCUGGCUUGGUAUUGGGCCACGGGGGUGACCCGGGCCUGAAAGUCGUCGGCCGGACCGCCUGAAUCUCAGCGUCGUGAAUCAAAUUCGCUGGCGAGUCGGGAGGUGCGCGCCGGAAAACAAUAACUUUCUCAGGUUGACCUCGGAUCGGGUAGGGAUACCCGCUGAACUUAA
rnacentral:misc_RNA from 1 species